rnacentral:rRNA from 1 species
UGCAGUCGGACGGUAGCACAGAGRAGYUUGYUCCUUGKGWGACGAGUGGSGGACGGGWGAGUARUGUSUGGRGAUCUGCCCGAUAGAGGGRGAUAACCACUGRAAACGGUGGCUAAUACCGCAUAACGUCGCAAGACCAAAGAGGGGGACCUUCGGGCCUCUCACUAUCGGAUGAACCCAGAUGGGAUUAGCUAGUAGGCGGGGUAAUGGCCCACCUAGGCGACGAUCCCUAGCUGGUCUGAGAGGAUGACCAGCCACACUGGAACUGAGACACGGUCCAGACUCCUACGGGAGGCAGCAGUGGGGAAUAUUGCACAAUGGGCGCAAGCCUGAUGCAGCCAUGCCGCGUGUAUGAAGAAGGCCUUCGGGUUGUAAAGUACUUUCAGCGGGGAGGAAGGCGACGAGGUUAAUAACCCUGUCGAUUGACGUUACCCGCAGAAGAAGCACCGGCUAACUCCGUGCACGC